UACGAAGGUGGCAAGCGUUGUUCGGAUUUACUGGGCGUACAGGGAGCGUAGGCGGUUGGGUAAGCCCUCCGUGAAAUCUCCGGGCCUAACCCGGAAAGUGCGGAGGGGACUGCUCGGCUAGAGGAUGGGAGAGGAGCGCGGAAUUCCCGGUGUAGCGGUGAAAUGCGUGAGAGAGUCGGGAGGAAGGCCGGUGGCGAAGGCGGCGCUCUGGAACAUUUCUGA
rnacentral:rRNA from 1 species